rnacentral:rRNA from 1 species
CAGCAGCCGCGGGAACACGUAGGGUGCGAGCGUUAAUCGGAAUUACUGGGCGUAAAGCGUGCGCAGGCGGUUCGUUAAGACAGAUGUGAAAUCCCCGGGCUUAACCUGGGAACUGCAUUUGUGACUGGCGAGCUAGAGUAUGGCAGAGGGGGGUAGAAUUCCACGUGUAGCAGUGAAAUGCGUAGAGAUGUGGAGGAAUACCGAUGGCGAAGGCAGCCCCCUGGGCCAAUACUGACGCUCAUGCACGAAAGCGUGGGGAGCAAACAGGAUUAGAUACCCCAGUAGUCCCUGUCUCUUAUAC